rnacentral:rRNA from 1 species
CCUACGGGAGGCAGCAGUGGGGAAUAUUGCACAAUGGGCGCAAGCCUGAUGCAGCAACGCCGCGUGAAGGAAGAAGGCCUUCGGGUCGUAAACUUCUGUCCAAAGGGAAGAACUCUGACGGUACCUUUGGAGGAAGCCCCGGCUAACUACGUGCCAGCAGCCGCGGUAAUACGUAGGGGGCAAGCGUUAUCCGGAAUUACUGGGCGUAAAGAGUACGUAGGUGGCCCUGUAAGCGUAGGGUUUAAGGCGACGGCCCAACCGUCGUUCGCCCUGUGAACUGCAGAGCUUGAGUGCUGGAGGGGAAGGCGGAAUUCCUAGUGUAGCGGUGAAAUGCGUAGAUAUUAGGAGGAACACCAGUGGCGAAGGCGGCCUUCUGGACAGUAACUGACACUGAGGUACGAAAGCGUGGGUAGCAAACAGGAUUAGAUACCCUGGUAGUCCACGCCGUAAACGAUGAGCACUAGGUGUCGGGCUCAUAAGAGUUCGGUGCCGGAGCAAACGCAUUAAGUGCUCCGCCUGGGGAGUACGCACGCAAGUGUAAAACUCAAAGGAAUUGACGGGGACCCGCACAAGCAGCGGAGCAUGUGGUUUAAUUCGAAGCAACGCGAAGAACCUUACCAGGGCUUGACAUCCCUCUGAAAGACCGGGUAAUGCCGGUCCCCUCUUCGGAGCAGAGGAGACAGGUGGUGCAUGGUUGUCGUCAGCUCGUGUCGUGAGAUGUUGGGUUAAGUCCCGCAACGAGCGCAACCCUUGCCGUUAGUUGCCAUCAUUAAGUUGGGCACUCUAAUGGG